rnacentral:piRNA from 1 species
GCAAAUCCCACCAUUCUUGACCAUG